rnacentral:lncRNA from 1 species
CAGAAGUGUCACUUAUGCAGUCAUCACCUUUUUCCUUGAUGUAAAAAGCUUCUAAAAGCUCACAGGCUAUUUUAUUUUUGCUCCUGCCUAGAAUCUGAAAUGUGACACGAGCGUGGUAUAUCAAAUCCCGCUCAAAUGUGGACGAGUAUAUAUGGGCCAAUAGGGCGCUGCGUGAAUGAACGCGCAGGGGAGCAUGCGUUGUCAGUUCGGAAAAGAGAAGGAGCGAACUUGCCCGCUCACUGCAUUACAUGCAAAGGAUGUGAGCCACUGUUCAAGAACACAAGAUU